rnacentral:rRNA from 1 species
UACGAAGGGGGCAAGCGUUGUUCGGAAUUACUGGGCGUAAAGGGCGCGUAGGCGGCUUAUCAAGUCAGGCGUGAAAUUCCCGGGCUCAACCUGGGGGCUGCGCUUGAUACUGGAUUGGCUUGAAUGCGGGAGAGGAUAGUGGAAUUCCCAGUGUAGAGGUGAAAUUCGUAGAUAGUUGGGAAGAACACCGGUGGCGAAGGCGGCUAUCUGGCCCGUAAUUGACGCUGAGGCGCGAAAGCGUGGGUAGCAAACGGG